AACGUAGGAGCCUAGCGUUAUCCGAAUUUACUGGGCGUAAAGCGCGUGCAGGCGGUUCGAUAAGUUGGAUGUGAAAUCUCCUGGCUCAACUAGGAGAGGUCGUUCAAAACUAUCGGACUAGAGGAUGGUAGAGGGAGGUGGAAUUCCCGGUGUAGUGGUGAAAUGCGUAGAUAUCGGGAGGAACACCAGUGGCGAAAGCGGCCUCCUGGGCCAUUCCUGACGCUCAGACGCGAAAGCUAGGGGAGCAAACGGG
rnacentral:rRNA from 1 species